GCUUGUCUCAAAGAUUAAGCCAUGCAUGUCUCAGUAUAAGCUUUUACACGGCGAAACUGCGAAUGGCUCAUUAAAACAGUUAUCGUUUCUUUGGUGGUUAUUGAUUACAUGGAUAGCCGUGGUAAUUCUAGAGCUAAUACAUGCAGCAGAGCUCCGACCUUCGGGGACGAGCGCUUUUAUUAGACCAAAACCGAUCGAGGCUUCUGCUUCGUUUCCGUGGUGACUCUGUAUAACUUUGGGCUGAUCGCACGGUCUUAGUGCCGGCGACGUAUCUUUCAAGUGUCUGCCUUAUCAACUGUCGAUGGUAGGUUACGCGCCUACCAUGGUCGUAACGGGUAACGGGGGAUCAGGGUUCGAUUCCGGAGAGGGAGCCUGAGAAACGGCUACCACAUCCAAGGAAGGC
rnacentral:rRNA from 1 species